GGAUGUAAAGGUGAUGUGACUAUGACAUAUGUUGCCCCAUUGAUCACCAGAGUUGAUUCAGCUGACCUGGCUAGCUGGGGGUGGGGGUGUCCCCGUCCUCCCUCACCGCUACUCAUUCGUCCCUCCCAAAAUAGCUUGCUCAGCCAAAGAGGACAAAUUCCUGGAGAGUGGAGAGGAGCACUUUUACACAAAGGAUAUACAAGUAGCUGUGCUCCCUGGCUGGAACCUCCAAACACACUCUCGGGGUUCAUUUGUAGAAGAACAUAGGAUGGACAGGCUUCCAAGACUCCAGGCACAUCCAAAUGAGGCGCUACGUGUGGCAGACUGCCUUCCUUU
rnacentral:snRNA from 1 species